UACGGAGGGUGCAAGCGUUAAUCGGAAUUACUGGGCGUAAAGGGUGCGUAGGUGGUUGUAUAAGUUAACUGUGAAAUCCCCGGGCUCAACCUGGGCAGGUCAGUUAAGACUGUAUGACUCGAGUAUGGGAGAGGGUAGUGGAAUUUCCGGUGUAGCGGUGAAAUGCGUAGAGAUCGGAAGGAACACCAGUGGCGAAGGCGGCUACCUGGCCCAAUACUGACACUGAGGCACGAAAGCGUGGGGAGCAAACAGGA
rnacentral:rRNA from 1 species